GUUUGGGUUCUGUUCUCAAGGAGAUGGGCACAGAUACAGUGUUUGGCCAGGCCAGAGUCCUGGGGUGGAAUGGGGGAAUGCUCUCUGGUUACAAUCAGAGGUGGGGACAGCCAGAGCCCAAGGUCUUUCCCCAAAGUUCCCUCAGUCCCAGCCCAGAGGCGCCGGCCUGGCUGCUGGAAGACUUCACUGUGGGCACAUAUGGGGAGCAGCUGCGGGGCCAGGGCCAGAGUAGAUCACGUGACACGGACAGGCUCGCCCUGGAGCCUACAGAGCCAAGACUCUGAGAAAAGGCAGUUGAAGAGUAUCUGGAAAUGCGCAUGUCCACAGAGAUAUGCUCUGCAGUGUGGACUUAUAUGUAAGGUCUCCCCACCCCCCACACAGGGAGAGAACACCAUCUCCACACUGUGUGAUCUGAAGCUACUCCUUACACAGAGCAGACAAGAAGUGACUGCUACCUCUGGAGGCUGCUGACUCCUCAUUCAGAGACAGGCCCUGAGAAGCACCCUGAGCUACAGGCUGGGUAGAGGACCUGGAUGCCUGCCUUCAGAGCACAGGCUUAGGCUAGUGCUUAGAAUUCUGAGUGAUACUGAGGGAGGGAGCACUAAGUUACUCUGAGCUAUUGGCAUGACAGACAGGGACAGGAACCAGACUGAAGAAGCUUUCCCUAGCAGGUGUGACUGACUGCACACCUGCAGCCCUCCCUAAAUAGUGCCGUGCCUUCAUUCAGUACAUUUCUCCAUAGAGGACACGGAGGCUUCAUCUUGAUUGUCAACUUGACUGGAUUUAGAAUUACUUAAGAGACACACCUCUGGGCAUGUCCGCCAGAGUCAUUUCAAAAACCUUGAAGGGGGAAGACCCAGGGUCCCAGACUGAAUACAAAGAGGCAAGUAAGAGGUUGAACUAUGCAGCUGCCUUGGCUCUGAGCUUCGUGACUGGAUACAAUGUGUCCAGCCUUCACAUUCACUCUGCGUGGCCUUUCCCACUCUUAACCUGGGGCCACAAGAAACCAGUCCUUCCCUAAAUUGUUUGGUUAGAUACUCACUCUCUCACGGGCCUGGGAAAAGUAACGAAUGCAAUCAACCACCCAGCCAGGAACCUUCAACCCUGUGAGCCACAGUGAUGCACACACCUAUAGUCCCAGCAGAGGCCACUCUGAUAGUCUCAGUGUAGUGCAGUCCCAGCUAUACUCCAAAAGACCAACUUAGAUCACACUUCCAAAAAAAAAAAAAAAAAAAAGAUUGCUGGGAAUAAAGAGAUGACUCCGAAGUAAGUGCUCUGACUGCUCUUCCAGAAGGUCAGGUUCAACUCCAAGCAUCUUCAUGGUGGCUCAAAACUUUCUGUAACUCCAAUUCCAGAAAAUCUGACACCCUCUCCUGGCCUCAGAGAACGCAGGAACCAGGGACCUACAUGCAGGAAAAAAAAUCUGUAUUUUAUGUAAAAUAGAAGAUGAGAAGAGGGCUGGGAUUGUAGCUCAGAAGGUAACUAAUGCUAGCUCCCCUAGCAUGCACAGAGCUGUGGGUUCGAUCCCCAGCAGCACAUAAAGCAGGCUUCCUGGUACAUGUCUAUAACCCCAGAGCUCAGGAAGAUCAGAAGUUAAGGCUACAGAGUUAAGUUGAGCCCAGCCUGGGCAAGUAAGACCCUGUCUCAUGAAGGAAAAGAACAGAAGAAAA
rnacentral:lncRNA from 1 species